GACGAACGCUGGCGGCGUGCUUAACACAUGCAAGUCGAACGGAAAGGCCCGGCUUUUUUGGGGUGCUCGAGUUACGAACUGGUGAGUAACACUUGAGUAACCUGCCCUUGACGGUGGGAUAACUUCAUGAAACUUGUGCUAAUAGCGGGUAGGAUCUCCUGCUUCUUGGUCGGGGUUCGAAAGUUUCGGCGGUUGGUGAUGGACUCGCCGCUUAUCAGCUUGUUGGUGGGGUAGUGGCUUACCAAGGCUUUGACGGGUAGCCGGCCUGAGAGGGUGACCGGACACGUUGGGACUGAGCUGCGACACAGCCUAAUCCGGGAGGCGGGGGUGCAGAAUAGUGCCUUAUGGGAGGAACCCUGAUGCAGCAAAGCCGCGUGGGGGAUGACGGCCAUCGCGUAGUAAUCCGAUUUUGUCUGUGACGAAGCGUGAGUGACGGUAAUGGGUAAAGAAGCCCCGGCUAACUACGUG
rnacentral:rRNA from 1 species